UCUCUUUUCUUCCAAGAAUAAUAAAACAUUGAUAGAAGCAUGUUUUUGUUAGACUUACUAGCUCAAGCAAAUCAUAGCAUGGUCCAACUUGGUCACUCUUAAUCAUUUGAGUUGAAAACAUCAAUUGCUAAGUGACUUGAGAAUCAUGUACUUCUGAAAAUUAGAACUUGUGAUUCCCUUACAAAGUUUCUCCCCACUUGCUACUUGGUUUGUUCUAGCAGAGGCUAAUUGGUAUGGAUAACUAGUCUUGGGG
rnacentral:lncRNA from 1 species